UACGUAGGGGGCAAGCGUUGUCCGGAAUCAUUGGGCGUAAAGCGCGCGUAGGCGGCCCGGUAAGUCCGCUGUAAAAGUCCAGGGCUCAACCCUGGAAAGCCGGUGGAUACUGUCGAGCUAGAGUCCGGAAGAGGCGAGUGGAAUUCCUGGUGUAGCGGUGGAAUGCGCAGAUAUCAGGAGGAACACCGAUGGCGAAGGCAGCUCGCUGGGACGGUACUGACGCUGAGGCGCGAAAGCGUGGGGAGCGAACAGG
rnacentral:rRNA from 1 species